AUCCUUCUGUACUUUGUAAGUGUGACGACUGGGUAUUCAUGCUGUUGUGUGAGAUGUGCCUCCCUUAAACCCUGUUAUGACACCAGCAUAUUACCUGUCUGACA